AUGCAUAAGGAGAAGAAAAUGAGCGCGGAGAGAGGGGAUGGAUACCUCUCAAUUUUAUUCAUCUCCAUCAGAGAAGCAAAGACGGAAAUGAGUCAGAGCGGAAUCCAAAGAUUGGAGCAGAGUCACGAAAGCAUCAAAGCCAAUCAACGAAUGACAUCCUCGUUUAGUUUGACUUCAAUCAGAGAAGAAGUUCUCAAAGCAGUCACAUCGAUUCUUGAUCACAUGUGA